rnacentral:rRNA from 1 species
AACUCCCCAGCGCCAAUGGUACUGUGUCUCAAGACCCGGGAGAGUAGGUCGUCGCCGGGC